GCCAACACAAGACCAUUUCCUAAAUAAGCGAUGAAUGAACCCCGUUCAUGUUAAUGACGUGACAACAGGUACUUCUGUAUGCACAGCUGUUAAAGUGGACGAUCGGCGCUUAUCAACAAGAGAUCUAUAGAGGAAACAUGCCUUCAGUUCCAUCCAACAAAGAGAACGACGGUCCUACCUGCCCUUUUGCUGGCAAGAAGACCACUGGUAGGAAUGGCGUUGAGAAGUUGGUUUCAGAUGAUGUAGACAGACCUCUACAGCUAAAUAGAGAAACUGAAGCCACUGACCCAAAAUGGAUUCGUCCGGACCUGCCAAGUAGAUGUACCUGGAAACCAGGAAUGUCUCUUGAAAGUUCCCCUCACAAAUACUUCCCCAGGACAAAAGCUGAGAAGAUUCUACCCAACAUCCUGGAUAUGAUUGGAGACACACCACUGGUCCGCAUAAACAAGAUCUCUAAGACUUUUGGACUAAAAUGUGAACUUU